AGAGUUUGAUCAUGGCUCAGAUUGAACGCUGGCGGCAUGCCUUACACAUGCAAGUCGAACGGUAACGGGCCUUCGGGUGCCGACGAGUGGCGAACGGGUGAGUAAUGCAUCGGAACGUACCUUUCAGUGGGGGAUAACGUAGCGAAAGUUACGCUAAUACCGCAUAUUCUGUGAGCAGGAAAGCAGGGGAUCGCAAGACCUUGCGCUGAUUGAGCGGCCGAUGUCAGAUUAGCUAGUUGGUGAGGUAAAGGCUCACCAAGGCGACGAUCUGUAGCGGGUCUGGGAGGAUGAUCCGCCACACUGGAACUGAGACACGGUCCAGACUCCUACGGGAGGCAGCAGUGGGGAAUUUUGGACAAUGGGGGCAACCCUGAUCCAGCCAUGCCGCGUGAGUGAAGAAGGCCUUCGGGUUGUAAAGCUCUUUCGGCCGGGAAGAAAUCGCAUGGGUUAAUACCCUGUGCGGAUGACGGUACCGGCAUAAGAAGCACCGGCUAACUACGUG
rnacentral:rRNA from 1 species